ensembl:snRNA U6 U6 spliceosomal RNA
AUGCUCACUUUGGCAGCACAUAUACCAAAAUUGGAAAAAUACAGAGAUUAGCGUGUCCCCUGCACAAUGGCUAAUAAAAAUUUGAAUAAAAUAAUUUACCAUGGU